UACGUAGGGGGCGAGCGUUGUCCGGAAUUAUUGGGCGUAAAGAGCGUGUAGGCGGUUCGGUAAGUCUGCCGUGAAACCUGGGGCUCAACCCCAGGCGUGCGGUGGAUACUGCCGGGCUAGAGGGUGGUAGAGGCGAGUGGAAUUCCCGGUGUAGCGGUGAAAUGCGCAGAUAUCGGGAGGAACACCAGUAGCGAAGGCGGCUCGCUGGGCCAUACCUGACGCUGAGACGCGAAAGCGUGGGGAGCAAACAGG
rnacentral:rRNA from 1 species